GCUCCAUGUCCCUGGAGGAUAGCAACUCCAAACUGAAGGCAGAGAUUAGUUUGCAACAAGAAAGGUUACACAAACUCGGUAAGGACGUACACCCCCACCCCAAGUCUGAUGUUUUAGGAGCAGAAGGAGACAGCCAAAGUUAUCUAAUUGUUGUGAACAGAAAAUAUGUGGAACCUUGUCCUUUCUUUGUCAGAGUGUGAGAGAGAUAAGCUACAUCAGGAAGUGAAGGCCUUGCAGGUAGAGGAAGAGGCACGGAAUAAACAAGAGGAGAAGACACAAACACUGGAGGCUCAACUGUCCAGUACUCAGCUCUUACUUGACAAAGAGAACUCCAAGUACCAGAAUGCAUGUCACCAACAGGAGUCACUGCAGGCCAAGCAGAUGUCUCUAUUGGAGAGAGUGGAUGCUCUGGACCAGGAGUGUGAGGAGCUUCAAGGACAAUUGGGGGAGACUGAGGACACACAGACAGACCUACAGGAUAGACUGACACACAUCUCAGAGGAGAAGGACCAACUUAAAACCCAGCUCACCCAAGAACAGGCCUUGUGUUCUGAGCUGCAGCAGGAGAAGCAGAGAUUGGAGAGUCAUGUGAGCAAGCUGAAAGACAGUUUGGAUCAGCUGAGAGGAGAGGUGCAGGAGUUAGCACAGAGGGAGAGGCUGCUGGUGUCAUUCCCAGAGCUCAACCCACUGCCUCAGGGACCGCCACAGACUUUGGAUUCUCCCAGUCUGCCUGACGCUCCCAGAGAGAGACAGCUAAAUCCCACCCCCUACGUACAACACAGCCCUCUACAGACCUCCAGUGCAGGAGUGUUGAAACAUUGA
rnacentral:lncRNA from 1 species